UCCCUGAUAGCUCAGUUGGUAAAGAAUCUGCCUGCAAUGCAGGAGACCCUGGUUCAAUCCCUAGGUCGGGAA
rfam:TPA: Bos taurus chromosome 3, whole genome shotgun sequence.